CCGGCCGGGAGCCAAAAGCGCGAUUUUAAAAUUGUCUCCAGCUGUUGGCCGGCGCGGGGCCUGACGCUUCCGCCCGCCGGCGGGGAAGGGAGCCGCGGCACCCCGGCGACAGACGGCAGCUUUCCCCCCGUAAGAGCAGGACUUUGAAACUCGGGCGCAGCCCUGGAUCCAGUGAGGUCCCUGCGCUCCCGUAACAAUGACAGAGGACUCGGGGCCGCAUCCCGCCCCAGAAAAUGACAAGGAUCCUCACACAGCAGAGGAGCCGGUGCAAUGCGUGAACAGUUAGCCACAGACAGAUGUUACGGAGGCUGCCAGGUCCACCCCUGCUGUCCUGAAAAGAGCCCUGGUGCGGCCUAGGCCAGGCCUGGGAAUCCCUCCUGAGCUAAGACGGUGGCCAGGACUUUCUGAAAGAAAGUGAAGACAGAAGAGUCUCAGGUCACUCUUACUGUCCUGCUGGCCUAUGAGAUGUGGUCUGGAACGGAAUCCACAAUAUCUCCGAGGUAUGCCUGUAUUUUUAUCUCUAGAUGAUGGAAUAAUGGAUCUACCCACGAGAAGCAAAAACAAGCGUCUGCCCUGAAACUCGUGCGCGAAGGUGCACAGCAGCAUUGCUGGUAACAGCUACGAAGUGGAAACGCCCCAGCUGUCCAUCGACUGAAGGAUGAACAAAUGUGCUACGUCCACACAACAGGGCGUUACGAGCAAAAGGAGGAGUCAAGUCCUGACGCUGCACUGCAGCAGGAACCGUAGAAAUGUCACGCGAGGUGAAAGAACCGUCACAGGAUACGACGUAUUGCAUGGUCGCAUUCAUACAAAGUCCCAAACAGGCAAAGCUGUAGGGACAGAAGGUCGGAGAGUGCUUGCCUAAGUGUGGAGGCGAGGGAACAGUGAGGGGUGGCUGUUAAAUGGUCCAAGCUUUCUUUUUCAGAUGAUGAAAAAGUCCUAAAAUUAGAUUAUGGUGAUGGUUGCAAAACUCCGCAACUAUUACUAAGAACCAUUUAAUUGUGUGCUUUAAAUGGGUGAACUCCAUGGUAUACAAAUUCUCUCUCAACAAAAUUAUUUUUAAAAAUUUUUAAAUUUACCAGAUCAAAAACAGGUUCAGGAAUCCAGUUGUCAUUGAACUUCUUUAAAAGUUACUGGAAGAUAUGCUGCAACAAAAAAAAAAAAAA